AGAGUUUGAUCCUGGCUCAGAACGAACGCUGGCGGCAUGGCUAAGACAUGCAAGUCGAACGGACUAUAUGAUUGAGUAAUCUUGAAUAUAGUUAGUGGCGAAAGGGCGAGGAAUAAAUAGGUAACGUACCCCGAUCUCCAGGAUAGCGUCUAGAUACUUCGGUAUCUUUCCGAAAGGGGCAAUAAUACUGGAUAAUAUCAUGUGUUUGAUGCAUAUGAUCAAAGAUUUAUCGGUUUGGGAGCGGCCUAUUUCCCAUCAGCUUGUUGGUAAGGUAAUGGCUUACCAAGGCUACGACGGGUAUCGGGACUGAGAGGUUGACCCGACGCAUCGGAACUGAGACACUGUCCGGACCUCCACGGAGGGCUGCAGUAACGAAUAUUGCACAAUGGGCGAAAGCCUGAUGCAGCAAUGCCGCGUGUAGGAUGAAGCUCCUCGGAGUGUAAACUACUGUCAGGGGUUAGAAAGUGCGCUUGCGCAUUGAUCAGCCCCAGAGGAAGUCACGGCUAACUUCGUGCCAGCAGCCGCGGUAAUACGAAGGUGGCAAGCGUUGUUCGGAAUCACUGGGCUUAAAGCGCACGUAGGCGGAACAGAAAGUGUCUUGUGAAAGCCCCCGGCUUAACCGGGGAAUUGCUCGGCAAACUUCUGUUCUUGAGUCAAGUAGGGGUACAUGGAACUCUUAGUGGAGCGGUGGAAUGCGUAGAUAUUAAGAGGAACGCCAAUGGUGAAGACAGUGUACUGGGCUUGUACUGACGCUGAGGCGCGAAAGCGUGGGGAGCGAACGGGAUUAGAUACCCCGGUAGUCCACGCCGUAAACGAUGUCUACUAGGUUGUGGAGGUUCUGACACACUCACAGCCGGAGCAAAAGUGUUAAGUAGACCGCCUGGGGAGUACGGUCGCAAGGCUAAAACUCAAAGGAAUUGACGGGGGCUCACACAAGCGGUGGAGCAUGUGGAUUAAUUCGAAGCAACGCGCAGAACCUUACCUGGGUUUGACAUGUUUGGAUGGCUACCGGGAAACCGAUUAGUCUGCCCUUCGGGGUGAAACUUACACAGGUGCUGCAUGGCUGUCGUCAGCUCGUGUCGUGAGAUGUCGGGUUAAGUCCUUUAACGAGCGAAACCCUUGCCGUUAGUUGCCAGCGGGUAAUGCCGGGGACUCUAGCGGGACUGCCGGUGUCAAACCGGAGGAAGGCGGGGAUGACGUCAAGUCCUCAUGGCCUUUAUGCCCAGGGCUUCACACGUGCUACAAUGGUUACUACAAAGCGACGCACGACCGCGAGGUGGAGCAAAUCGCAAAAAAGUAGCCUCAGUUAGGAUUGCAGGCUGACAACUCGCCUGCAUGAAGUUGGAAUCGCUAGUAAUCGCGUAUCAGCUACGACGCGGUGAAUGUGUUCCUGAGCCUUGUACACACCGCCCGUCAAGUGAUGGAAGUCGGGAGCACCCGAAGUCAGAUUGCUAACUUUCGAGAAGCGUCUGCCUACGGUGAGUUCGAUGACUGGCACUAAGUCGUAACAAGGUAGCCGUAGGGGAACCUGCGGCUG
rnacentral:rRNA from 1 species